rnacentral:rRNA from 1 species
ACCCAAUAGAUACCCUGGUAGUCCACGCCGUAAACGAUGGGCACUAGAUGCUUGGGGGAGCGACCCUCCGAGUGUCGGCGCUAAACGCAUUAAGUGCCCCGCCUGGGGAGUACGGCCGCAAGGCUGAAACUCAAAGGAAUUGACGGGGGUCCCGCACAAGCGGUGGAGCAUGUGGUUUAAUUCGACGCAACGCGAAGAACCUUACCUGGGCUUGACAUGCACGGGAAACGCCUCAGAAAGGGGGUCGCCCUCUUCGGAGUCCGUGCACAGGUGCUGCAUGGCUGUCGUCAGCUCGUGUCGUGAGAUGUUGGGUUAAAGUCCCGCAACGAGCGCAACCCCCGGUCCCUAGUUACCAGCGGGUAACGCCGGGUCACUCUAGGGAGACUGCCGGUGCCAAACCGGAGAAGGUGGGGACGACGUCAAGUCAUCAUGGUCCUUACGUCCAGGGCUACACACGUGCUACAAUGGGCAGGACAGAGGGUUGCAAAGCUGCAA